AGUGAACCUCAGUGCAACCAAUCAUAACCUUUGUUGUUUUAGCGCGUCUAACUUUUGGGACGUCUAACUUUUGGGAGGUCACCCGGUCAUCUGGCUUUAUUUGUUUAUCCAUGAUGACAAUCAUUUGGAAUGAUGCGUUUAUUCAUGAUGUCCUUAACUUUAUUAUUAUUUUAUUGAUGAUGUUAAUGUUUUAUCCACGACCGUACCAUCGGUGUCCUGUGUCAUUAAAUACAUAGGGAAUAUUAGAAUAAAUUUUAUUUAUAAAGUGUUUCCUGCAAGAGGAAAUCUAGACAAGCAGUCAAUCCACGGAUCAAAGCAUGUGCCCUGGGACUCUCACUGGAAUGAAGUAGGGUGGUAAUACUUUGGACUACCCAAUAUAGCGAGGUAACUGUGUCGGUGUGGUCGACACCUGGUGUCUGGGCCUCAAAGGACACUACAUAAAUGUGUGGUAGCUGGUGUUUAACCCAUCUGAAACUUUGAGUCUCGAUCGUAGAAAGCUGUUCCCCAAACAAGAGACGGGACGACUUUUAGAAUGGUAUUGAGAAACCGGUUUAUCUUGGAUGUUUUCGCCUCUUACCAUGCUGGAGUAUUAUUGAGAUUUAUACUUUUGAUAAAAUAAACUUAACACCCAAAA